AUGCAAGUCGAGCGGACUCAACAGUUUCCUUCGGGAAACCGUUAGGUUAGCGGCGGACGGGUGAGUAAUACGUAGGUAACCUGCCCUUAAGACUGGGAUAACUCACGGAAACGUGGGCUAAUACCGGAUAGGCGAUUUCCUCGCAUGAGGGAAUCGGGAAAGGCGGAGCAAUCUGCCACUUAUGGAUGGACCUACGGCGCAUUAGCUAGUUGGUGGGGUAACGGCUCACCAAGGCGACGAUGCGUAGCCGACCUGAGAGGGUGAUCGGCCACACUGGGACUGAGACACGGCCCAGACUCCUACGGGAGGCAGCAGUAGGGAAUCUUCCGCAAUGGACGCAAGUCUGACGGAGCAACGCCGCGUGAGUGAUGAAGGUUUUCGGAUCGUAAAGCUCUGUUGCCAGGGAAGAACGCUAUGGAGAGUAACUGUUCCAUAGGUGACGUACUAG
rnacentral:rRNA from 1 species